AUGAUAGAGGCGCGAACAGGCAUCAGUAACCGGCCAGCACGGGCAGAGCACCCGGCCGGAGAAAGGGCCGUUCGCCGAAGGGCCGUCUCCCUGCCUGGAGAGCGGUAUCCUGGGCCGCGAGAGAACAUCUCCCGGACUGCCACAAAACGGUGUGGAGCGCUAUCA
rnacentral:ncRNA from 1 species